UACGGAGGGUGCAAACGUUGCUCGGAAUCAUUGGGCGUAAAGCGCACGUAGGCGGCGAAGCAAGUUGGGUGUGAAAGCCCUGGGCUCAACCCAGGAAGUGCAUUCAAAACUGCUUCGCUUGAAUCUCGGAGGGGGUCAGAGAAUUCCCGGUGUAGAGGUGAAAUUCGUAGAUAUUCGGAAGAACACCAGUGGCGAAGGCGGCUCACUGGACUGGUAUUGACGCUGAGGUGCGAAAGCGUGGGGAGCAAACAGG
rnacentral:rRNA from 1 species